rnacentral:rRNA from 1 species
GAGAUCGGGAUAACACCUGGAAACAGAUGCUAAUACCGGAUAACAACAGAUGAUGCCUAUCAACUGUUUAAAAGAUGGUUCUGCUAUCACUCUUGGAUGGACCUGCGGUGCAUUAGCUAGUUGGUAGGGUAACGGCCUACCAAGGCGAUGAUGCAUAGCCGAGUUGAGAGACUGAUCGACCACAUUGGGACUGAGACACGGCCCAAACUCCUACGGGAGGCAGCAGCA